rnacentral:lncRNA from 1 species
AAAUUGAAGAGAUCUUGAAUGAACCUUUGCCUUAUGUCAGUGACUCAACUCUUUACAAAGGUAAAUUGUUUAACGACGAGUAUUUCUAAUUUUUUUUUCAGUUGGAUCUACCAUAGGAUGAUAGAGAAAAGGUUGGAGUGACAUAGAUGAAAGAGAAAAGAAUGAGAGGAACAAGAGAGGUGAGUAAGGGUUUGGGUGUUUCUUUUUUUUUUUUAGAAUGAAAA